rnacentral:lncRNA from 1 species
GUGAGGACACAGCAAAAGGUGCUGCCUAUAAAUCAGAAAGCAGAGCCCUCACAAGUAACCAAAUUUGCCGGCGUCUUGAUCUUGGACUUGCCAGCCUCCAGGACUGUACUUUGGAGGGGAAAAUGUACAAGAUACGCAAGGUCCCUGACCUCAUUAUGGAGAUUCCACAACACUGAAGAGGAAAAGGAGAAUGGAUGUAUUGGGACAAUCCAUUGCCAACAAUCAUUUUGUGUUUCAUUUAUGGGAUCCAUUUCUGGAGCAAUGCAUGCUUCUCAUGCCUCAUCACUGUGUUGUUAGAAGCUCUGGACCACUUUAUUACUCUGAGCAUCUUCCUUUUGGAUGUAGCUCACUCCUGGCUUCAGCAGCAGACAUGAUAUUAAAACCUUGGGACUGGAGCAUUUAAAAACAAGGUACCCUCAAGGAAAUAGAAAUUAAACCAUAUUCAAUGUGUAUCCACCAGAAUGGCUAAAAUGAAAACGACAGAAAAUGCCAAAUAUUGGCGAGAAGCUAGAGCAUCUGGAACUCUCAUACAUUGCUGGUAGCCCCUCUGAACUGGCUGUGCCUGGAGAUGUGUGUUACAUGAGAGAAAUCCUGACUUUGGGGAACCCAAAUCUUUUAUAAUGAGUCCACUCAAGUUCACAUUAACACUCUCCCUCCAGUUUGAAGACAUCUGAAAAGCAGCUGCCAUGUCUGAGAGGCUGAAGCAGCUGUAAGCCAUAAAUCACAAGGCUGGGGGAUUCUGGGUUGCACGUUGGCAUGUGGUCUGUCAGGC